rnacentral:rRNA from 1 species
UACGGGGGGGAGCAAGCGUUGUUCGGAUUUACUGGGCGUAAAGGGCGCGUAGGCGGCCACCGCAAGUCAGUUGUGAAAUCUCUGGGCUUAACCCAGAAAGGUCCAACUGAUACUGCGGGGGCUAGAGUGCAGAAGGGGGCAACUGGAAUUCUCGGUGUAGCGGUGAAAUGCGUAGAUAUCGAGAGGAACACCUGCGGCGAAGGCGGGUUGCUGGGCUGACACUGACGCUGAGGCGCGAAGCUAGGGGAGCGAACGGG